rnacentral:rRNA from 1 species
GAUCCUGGCUCAGGAUGAACGCUAGCGGCAGGCCUAACACAUGCAAGUCGAGGGGCAGCACGGUGUAGCAAUACACUGGUGGCGACCGGCGCACGGGUGCGUAACGCGUAUGCAACCUACCCAUAACCAGGGGGGAUAACACGUGAGAAAUUGGUACUAAUACCCCAUAACAUCAGGACCGGCAUCGGUUCUGGUUGAAAACUCCGGUGGUUAUGGAUGGGCAUGCGGUUGUAUUAGCUGGUUGGUG